UUUGGAGGAAAAAAAAAAAGAACAAGGUUUCCGUAGGUGAACCUGCGGAAGGAUCAUUA
rnacentral:rRNA from 1 species